UCGUGUCCACUUGCAAAAAGACAAUUAUACCCUCCCCCGUUUACCAGUUUAUCACAAUUACACAUUUUCGUGUCCUUGCUGAGCACUCAUUUUUCUUUCUCCUCUGGCCUUCGUUCCUCUUUCUCCUCUCUCCUUCGUUUCUAGGGUUACACCUCCCCGUCGUCGGCCUGAUCGCCUCCAUCCUCAAUCAUGUUCUUGGCUCACAGCAUGACUCCGUUUUACCCCAAAUAUUUGUCUCUGUACCCUAAGGAGCUCGCCGAUCUUCUUCUGCGUUGCUGGCGGUGGAGGUGGAAAGUCAAGGGAGAGCAGAAGGACGAACGAACAGGAAGGGGAAGAAGAGGGGCGGCUGGGUGGCGUUGGUCGACAGCGAGAUGGUCGGAAAGGGAACGGCAGGGGUGACGCUGAUGGUUGUGGUCGCGUAUUAUUGUGGCGCAUGAAAGGCGUUACAAUUUUGUUAUUCUUUUUCCCUAAAUUACUUCUACAUUUUCCCUAAUUUUCUGUAUUCCUAGGAAAACGAAUCACGUGCGAAUUUUCCAAUCUGAGUUUUUUUUAUUUGUGUUUCUAUUUAAUUCUAGGUACUGUUUAUGUGGUGAUUCACACUGAUUUCUUUUGAAUUGUUGUGCAGAUUUAUUGAAAUAUUUGUGGGAUUGUAGACGAUGCAAAGAGCUAUGGUUGGCUCUAGAUCUUCUUCAAUAAUAACCUUCCCCAACUGUGAGGUUUUUGAGAAGAUAGAGUGUAUUAACAAUUUGGAAUGAUUUUGUGCAUGUUCUUAAUCCAGGACAUUAUAAUAAUGUUAGUUAUUUGUUGCACAUCGAGGAGUGCAUGUGGUUAGAAAAGUAUAUUGUAAACAAAAGAAAAAAGUGAAACAAACUAUUCUAUACGUUUAAUUACUUUACUUUGGUACUAAGAUUUUGAUAUUUUUGUCAUGUAAUGGCAUGAGUAUUACACUGUUACGAAAUUUAUAUUGCAAGCUUGAUGUAUUAUAUCCC